CCUGGGGAAGCUGAGGCUCUGCCUCUGUCUCAGGCUGUUCCUGGAAGGUUAGCCUGGGGCGGAAGAUAAAGACAUUUGCCACCAAGAUGGUAAUCACGAGUGGAAAUGAGGAGGACAGAGAAGGCCAGGAGAGAGAGAAUAAGGAAGAGAGUAUCUUGGCGAUGCUGGGGAUUAUCGGGACCAUUCUGAACCUGAUUGUUAUCAUAUUUGUAUACAUCUACACCACUCUGUGAAUGGCCCGGAGGGUGCUUGGAGCCCACGGGGGUGGCUGGAAGAUGGGAUCCCUGCGUGUCAACACAGCCAUGAUCAGACGCUGUGCAAACAAGCGGGCUUGACCUACACACGCUGCUGGAGCAAAUGCACCUUCGAACUUUAUAAAAGGGUCACACAAACCAAGCCUGCCGCCAGGAGCAGACACUAAAGCACAAUGAAUCCAACAAGACUCAUUCACACAACAAGGAACUCAGCGUCUUUGGCCCAGGGCCCGGGAGACCCCUCGGAAGACCAGUCUUUGAUGCCGUCGGUGAGCAGAUGGGGGCAGAAAUCCACGGUCCCAGAUCUCUGAUGGCUCUCACGCCUCGGGAAAGGGCAACAGGGCAGUGUGGCUCGGGGGUACAUCACCCGGGACAUGCGCUCGGCCUCCACUCCACGGACCGUUCAGAACAAAACCCUUUGACACACAUCCCACCCAUCAAAAGUGUCUAACUAUUUGAUACUGGGGAGAUAACUUAUUUUUCUUUUUUCAUUGGCUUGACGUGUGUAUCUGUUCAUAUCAAGGUUUAUAAAUAUAUAUUUUUAAUAAAUGUGCUCUAUUUUUUAGCAUGAACCAAAUAUUUGGAGAGGCGCUCCUGGAGUCCUAGAGCCUUCUUUGGUUUUAUCUGCUUUGCCCCGUAGACUCGCAGGUGUUCUGUGGUAUUGCCAUUCUUGUCCUGCUUUGAACAUCUUCAGUCUUUUACCUUCUCUCUCUCUGUCUCCUUUUCUCCCUCUCUCUCUCUCUCUCCCCCACUUUUUGGUCUGGAGGGCAUUUCCCAUAAUACCAGCCAUGGUCCUGGUCAAUGCAUGUUUUAAGAUUGUCCAUUGAGGGGCUUUUUGUUGUUAUAGGGGAGAUCUAAAAUGAUCGUGGGCAUGGGGUCCUUAGUUGCACCGUAUCCUUAUUGAGAAUUUUGCAUGAACAAGGGCUGAGUGAUAGAUCAGCUUCUGAGAGAUGUAAAAAGGACGGUCAUGGAAGGAGAGAGGGCAGCUGUAUCCACAGAUCAUCUCUAGGAUGGAACAUUCAGCUUCUUCCUGGCAGCAUUAUUAUUUCAUGCUUGUGACCAUUUGUCGAUCAGAUUUUUAUCUUAAUGGCCACAUGCCGUGCAAGAUGGGGGAGAUCGAGGGGGUAGAGGCCAGUGUGAGUGCAUAAUCCCUUCCUUAGUGAACUGCCUGGGACCUUUAUCAAAGUAGGUGGGAUGUAAAGGGCAUGUGGAUUCAGUCCCCGCAGUGAGAGAUCUGGGUGUUUCAGGCUGCAAAGAUACCCCUGUGACAGGUGACCUUUUAAGGGCACAAGAAGGGGACAGAAUGAUCACCCCCAAAAGAUUGCUGUGCUUCCUUAAAGCUCCUGGUUUACACCCCCACAAAGCCACUUCCUCCCCGGUAGGGUUGGGUGAAUAUAUAUGAAUUUGCCCUGUUCUCCCAGCUCCCUGAGACGGGUCUUUGCCUGGCUGUGACAAAGAGGGUCACAGUUCCUUUUGCCAGUGCCAGACUUGUUCAUGGACAAAAGAAGCAGCAACUUGCCUUGUUGGGUUCAAAUGACGCGCGGAGGUCUCUACCGCCAGAUCUCUCCCUCCCCUUGUUGUGGUAUCUGGUCCUAGGAUAUCACCAUUAGAGAGUCAUUUCUUGUGCUCUUCUAAGGGACCAGGUUCUUUUAUAAAGCAGAUGCCCUUGAGCACCUGGCUCUGACAUUAUUCAUCAGGUGUCUUCUCUUCCCUACUGGAAGCAAGUAGACAUGCAUUUAGGGCACACGGUGUGCCAGACACAGUGCCGGACACUUUAUAUUCUUUAGGUCAUUGAAUUCUCCCUGUAACCCUGUGAGAUGGGGAGGUCUUUUCCCAGCAUCAUAGAAGAAAGGUGAGCUCAGAGAGAUCAUGUGGCUGAAACGUCUCCUCCCCGAUCUGAUCAUUUCCUUAGCCCAGCCAGGACUGGGCUUCUGGAGAGAGAGGAAAUGCUCAGGAGGGGAAGGCGCUGGAAAGAGCCCUUGGGGUCAGGUCACAGACCUGAUAGCUUUGUUAAGGGCCAGCUCUGCACACCUCCCCCCCCCUCCUCCAUAAAAAUAAAUAAGCCUUGGGAACUCCUUGGACACUGACAGAAUAUCAUACAAAUAAGGACGAGAAACCAGAGGAGGCUGGUUAGAAAUAAAAUGGGAUGUUGGGCGCGGGGGAGUUGUCUGCCAGGUUCUUUGUGAUUCUAGAAAGACUGUAUGAAAAUUCUGAACAGUGAACAGAGUAAACAAUAAAGGUGCAAUGGAUUAAAAAAAA